rnacentral:rRNA from 1 species
CCUACGGGAGGCUGCAGUGAGGAAUAUUGGUCAAUGGACGAGAGUCUGAACCAGCCAAGUAGCGUGAAGGAUGACUGCCCUAUGGGUUGUAAACUUCUUUUAUAAAGGAAUAAAACGAGGCACGUGUGCCUUUUUGCAUGGACUUUAUGAAUAAGGAUCGGCUAACUCCGUGCCAGCAGCCGCGGUAAUACGGAGGAUCCGAGCGUUAUCCGGAUUUAGUGGGUUUAAAGGGAGCGUAGAUGGGUUGUUAAGUCAGUUGUGAAAGUUUGCGGCUCAACCGUAAAAUUGCAAUUGAUACUGGCAGUCUUGAGUACAGUUGAGGUAGGCGGAAUUCGUGGUGUAGCGGUGAAAUGCUUAGAUAUCACGAAGAACCCCGAUUGCGAAGGCAGCUUACUAAACUGUGACUGACAUUGAUGCUCGAAAGUGUGGGUAUCAAACAGGAUUAGAUACCCUUGUAGUC